rnacentral:rRNA from 1 species
UCCAGACUCCUACGGGAGGCAGCAGUGAGGAAUAUUGGUCAAUGGGCGGGAGCCUGAACCAGCCAAGCCGCGUGAAGGAAGAAGGCGCCAAGCGUCGUAAACUUCUUUUGUCGGGGAACAAAGGGCGCCACGUGUGGCGUUGUGAGUGUACCCGAAGAAAAAGCAUCGGCUAACUCCGUGCCAGCAGCCGCGGUAAUACGGAGGAUGCGAGCGUUAUCCGGAUUUAUUGGGUUUAAAGGGUGCGUAGGCGGAAGGUUAAGUCAGCGGUCAAAUGUCGGUGCUCAACCCCGGCCUGCCGUUGAAACUGGUCUUCUUGAGUGAGCGAGAAGUAUGCGGAAUGCGUGGUGUAGCGGUGAAAUGCAUAGAUAUCACGCAGAACUCCGAUUGCGAAGGCAGCAUACCGGCGCUCAACUGACGCUGAGGCACGAAAGCGUGGGGAUCGAACAGGAUUAGAUACCCCAGUAACC